CUUGACAUCCCGAUGACAUCAGGGUAAUGCCUGGUUCCCUUCGGGGCAUUGGAGACAGGUGGUGCAUGGUUGUCGUCAGCUCGUGUCGUGAGAUGUUGGGUUAAGUCCCGCAACGAGCGCAACCCUUACCUUCAGUAGCCAGCAUUUAAGGUGGGCACUCUGGAGGGACUGCCAGGGACAACCUGGAGGAAGGUGGGGAUGACGUCAAAUCAUCAUGCCCCUUAUGGCCAGGGCUACACACGUGCUACAAUGGCGUAAACAGAGGGAAGCGACCACGCGAGUGUGAGCAAAUCUCAAAAAUAACGUCUCAGUUCGGAUUGUAGUCUGCAACUCGACUACAUGAAGCUGGAAUCGCUAGUAAUCGCGGAUCAGAAUGCCGCGGUGAAUACGUUCCCGGGUCUUGUACACACCGCCCGUCACACCAUGGGAGUUGGAAACGCCCGAAGCCGGUGACCCAACCUAAACAGGAGGGAGCCGUCGAAGGCGGGUCCGAUGACUGGGGUGAAGUCGUAACAAGGUAGCCGUAUCGGAAGGUGCGGCUGGAUC
rnacentral:rRNA from 1 species